rnacentral:rRNA from 1 species
UAGUGGCGCACGGGUGCGUAACGCGUGGGAAUCUGCCCUUGGGUACGGAACAACAGUUAGAAAUGACUGCUAAUACCGUAUGAUGUCUUCGGACCAAAGAUUUAUCGCCCAGGGAUGAGCCCGCGUAGGAUUAGGUAGUUGGUGGGGUAAAGGCCCACCAAGCCGACGAUCCUUAGCUGGUCUGAGAGGAUGAUCAGCCACACUGGGACUGAGACACGGCCCAGACUCCUACGGGAGGCAGCAGUGGGGAAUAUUGGACAAUGGGCGCAAGCCUGAUCCAGCAAUGCCGCGUGAGUGAUGAAGGCCUUAGGGUUGUAAAGCUCUUUUACCCGGGAAGAUAAUGACUGUACCGGGAGAAUAAGCCCCGGCUAACUCCGUGCCAGCAGCCGCGGUAAUACGGAGGGGGCUAGCGUUGUUCGGAAUUACUGGGCGUAAAGCGCACGUAGGCGGCUUGGU